rnacentral:misc_RNA from 1 species
CCCUCUACCAGUCUACCAAGUCCUUAUCCAGCACAAUAAAAGUCCGCUUGAGGGGAUCUUGGGAUCCAGGAGAGCUGCAUCUGGUAUUCCUCUUCGAGAGAGNNNNNNNNNAUGGCUACAACCCCGUAGCUUGGAAAAGAGCAGGUUCUUGCAUCCACUGGUGAUACUUGGGAACACGAGCCUCCAUGUAUGAUACCAAGCAUUAGCUUCUCUCCUUCAAGCUCACUGUCAUUUUUCUAAGCUUCG